GAUGAACGCUGGCGGCGUGCCUAAUACAUGCAAGUCGAGCGAACAGACGAGGAGCUUGCUCCUCUGACGUUAGCGGCGGACGGGUGAGUAACACGUGGAUAACCUACCUAUAAGACUGGGAUAACUUCGGGAAACCGGAGCUAAUACCGGAUAAUAUAUUGAACCGCAUGGUUCAAUAGUGAAAGACGGUUUUGCUGUCACUUAUAGAUGGAUCCGCGCCGCAUUAGCUAGUUGUUAAGGUAACGGCUCACCAAGGCAACGAUGCGUAGCCGACCUGAGAGGGUGAUCGGCCACACUGGAACUGAGACACGGUCCAGACUCCUACGGGAGGCAGCAGUAGGGAAUCUUCCGCAAUGGGCGAAAGCCUGACGGAGCAACGCCGCGUGAGUGAUGAAGGUCUUCGGAUCGUAAAACUCUGUUAUUAGGGAAGAACAAAUGUGUAAGUAACUAUGCACGUCUUGACGGUACCUAAUCAGAAAGCCACGGCUAACUACGUG
rnacentral:rRNA from 1 species